GAUAAAAACAACUUCAUAUGGUUAAGUAUCCACCACACGCAUGCCGUUAAGACCAGAAUUAAAUCUUGACGUAUCAUUUCAGUUCUUGGAAUCGUCUCAGUCUAUUUGCUGUAUGAAGUCAACGGUAAUGCGAUUCAACCAUUUACUUUUAUACCUAAUCAGCGUGAGAUAUUAAAAUGUGCCGAGGGUGAAACGACUGUAGCAUUGGCAGCGCACUGUUUUUUUUAGACUAUGUGAUCCGGGAUUGAAAUGUGUCGAAAAAUCUGAGCACCUGUGUUCACAAUAUAAACCCUGUUACAAUGGUGUAUGUAAACCACAAGAUGAUGGAGAUUUCAGGUGUAUCUGCGCAUCGUGGUACUUUGGACGUUACUGCGAAGAAGUUAUCAUUUAGCC